rnacentral:rRNA from 1 species
UGAGGAAUAUUGGUCAAUGGGCGAGAGCCUGAACCAGCCAAGUAGCGUGCAGGAUGACGGCCCUAUGGGUUGUAAACUGCUUUUAUGUGGGGAUAAAGUGCGUGACGUGUCAUGCAUUGCAGGUACCACAUGAAUAAGGACCGGCUAAUUCCGUGCCAGCAGCCGUGGUAAUACGGAAGGUCCGGGCGUUAUCCGGAUUUAUUGGGUUUAAAGGGAGCGUAGGCUGUCUAUUAAGCGUGUUGUGAAAUAUACCGGCUCAACCGGUGGCUUGCAGCGCGAACUGGUCGACUUGAGUAUGCAGGAAGUAGGCGGAAUUCAUGGUGUAGCGGUGAAAUGCUUAGAUAUCAUGACGAACUCCGAUUGCGCAGGCAGCUUACUGUAGCAUAACUGACGCUGAUGCUCGAAAGUGCGGGUAUCAAACAGG